rnacentral:tmRNA from 1 species
GGGGGCGAACUGGUUUUGACGGGGGUGCUGAGGUUCAGGUUGCGUGUCCGGGUCCUGCAACCCGGUUAUCAAAUGUAGGAAACCAACAAACGCCAACGACAACGCGUUUGCCCUCGCCGCAUAACUGCUGGUGAGCGGUCGUUCCUCGGGUCGCCUGUGCCUGGGGAUUUUCGACUGUCAUAUUUCACAGGCUGGCUGCUGAACGGGAUCCCGACGUUCAACAGUGAGAUUUCUGGGAUCCGGCUCCGAUGAAUCCUGCCCGUGGGAGUUGACGGAGCUUGAAUCAAAUCACGGAAACUACGCACGUAGACGCCUGUUUCCAAUCGCUCGCGGACCGGGGUUCGACUCCCCGCGCCUCCACCA